rnacentral:rRNA from 1 species
UGCAGUCGAGCGAGACCUUCGGGUCUAGCGGCGGACGGGUUAGUAACGCGUGGGAACGUGCCCUUCUCUGCGGAAUAGCCACUGGAAACGGUGAGUAAUACCGCAUACGCCCUUCGGGGGAAAGAUUUAUCGGAAAAGGAUCGGCCCGCGUUAGAUUAGAUAGUUGGUGGGGUAACGGCCUACCAAGUCUACGAUCUAUAGCUGGUUUUAGAGGAUGAUCAGCAACACUGGGACUGAGACACGGCCCAGACUCCUACGGGAGGCAGCAGUGGGGAAUCUUAGACAAUGGGCGCAAGCCUGAUCUAGCCAUGCCGCGUGUGUGAUGAAGGUCUUAGGAUCGUAAAGCACUUUCGCCAGGGAUGAUAAUGACAGUACCUGGUAAAGAAACCCCGGCUAACUCCGUGCCAGCAGCCGCGGUAAUACGGAGGGGGUUAGCGUUGUUCGGAAUUACUGGGCGUAAAGCGCGCGUAGGCGGAUUGGAAAGUUGGGGGUGAAAUCCCGGGGCUCAACCCCGGAACUGCCUCCAAAACUAUCAGUCUAGAGUUCGAGAGAGGUGAGUGGAAUUCCAAGUGUAGAGGUGAAAUUCGUAGAUAUUUGGAGGAACACCAGUGGCGAAGGCGGCUCACUGGCUCGAUACUGACGCUGAGGUGCGAAAGUGUGGGGAGCAAACAGGAUUAGAUACCCUGGUAGUCCACACCGUAAACGAUGAAUGCCAGUCGUCGGGCAGUAUAC